rnacentral:lncRNA from 1 species
CCCGGCCCUCCAGGCUGUCCCGGGGGAGCUAGACGAGUCCUCUCCCAGGUCCUGUCUGCCUAAGAUUCAGCAGCUGGCUGCUGAGCACACGUGCGAUGUCACCUCAUGCAUGUGCUGACAGUGGCUUCUGAGGCUCCAUCCAAAUUACACUCUAGGUGCCCUGCUCUGUCUCUGUGUAGUUGGACUGAGUCGUUUGCCAAGGCUUGGUGGUCCCAGAUUUUGCACCAGGCU